CCCUUAGAUGUUCUGGGCCGCACGCGUGCUACACUGACCGGCGCAACAAGCUUUUUUCCUUGGCUCGACAGGCCUGGGUAAUCUUUGAACGCUGUUCGUGAUUGGGAUAGACCUUUGCAAUUAUGGGUCUUCAACGAGGAAUUCCUAGUAAACGCAAGUCAUCAGCUUGCAUUGAUUACGUCCCUGCCCUUUGUACACACCGCCCGUCGCACCUACCGAUUGAAUGGUCCGGUGAAAUCUCGGGACGGCGGCUUGGUCGCUUGCGUCCGACUGCUGAAACUUGAUUAAACCAUAUCAUUUAGAGGAAGGUGAAGUCGUAACA
rnacentral:rRNA from 1 species